GCAGCAGGAGCAGUAAAAGUGGAUGUAUUUCACAGCAACACAACAGCGUCAUAGUGGAACAUUCUUGCGUGACGUGGUUUCAGUGGGUCCCUGUUGCUGCUGGCGACGCCUUCCUGCUUCAUGUAGGGGACAAUAAGAAUAAUUGGUAUCCAGACAGAACCAACAGCAGCCAACAGGUUAUAGUGUGUUGUCUCUCCUCGUUCUGCUGGUCUACACUCUGCUAUGAAUGUGUCUGAGGAGAGAGAGGAGGGAGGUUCUACCUCUAAAACCACUCUGUCUGGGGAACAUGACAGCCAGACCAAAGCUAAGAGUCCAGUCCAUCAGGAGAGACCAGACUCCCCUGUACCCAGCUGUGUGUCCAUGAAGAGUGACUGGUCUAUGGAUCUACCUUAUACAUUCAGAGAUGGACACCCCUCUACUGAACAGAG